rnacentral:sRNA from 1 species
AGAGAGGACAGCAGCAGUAAGCACCCUCUGAGGCCUUGGAAUUUUAAGUCUACCUCUGUUAGGCGACACUAGUCUGUUGCUGGGAUUUUCUUCAGAGAUGACCAGCAGCCACAUUGCUAAUUGAUGUAUGUGGUUCACAGAUCAAACACUAGUGACCCAUAAGCGCACAACAAGUUGUUGUGCGCUAUCUGUGGGUUAAAAUAUGACCGGCCCCAUCUAGAGAUAGGUGGUGUUCAUGUGUUCCGUAGGUGAACCUGCGGAAGGAUCAUUACAGAGUUAGGGUCUUUCAGGCCCAACCUCCAACCCCAUGCGUAUCUACCUUUGUUGCUUUGGCGGGCCUGUUUUGAGGUAACUCUCCGGUGGCCUCAGGCUGCCGAGCGCCCGUCAGAGAUUCACCAAACUCUGUUAAUUGUGAUGUCUGAGUACCAAUACAAUAUUUAAAACUUUCAACAACGGAUCUCUUGGUUCUGGCAUCGAUGAAGAACGCAGCGAAAUGCGAUAAGUAAUGUGAAUUGCAGAAUUCAGUGAAUCAUCGAAUCUUUGAACGCACAUUGCGCCCUUCGGUAUUCCGGAGGGCAUGCCUGUUCGAGCGUCAUUACACCACUCAAGCUUGGCUUGGUAUUGGGUCCUCGUCCUCCAUGGACGUGCCCAGAAAUCAGCGGCGACACAGCCUGACUUCAAGCAGUAUUAAUUUAUCUUUCGCUUUGGAAGCUCGGGUUUGGGUCUGCCGAACAACCUCUAUAUUUCUCAGGUUGACCUCGGAUCAGGUAGGAAUACCCGCUGAACUUAAGCAUAUCAAUAAGCGGAGGAAAAGAAACCAACAGGGAUUGCCUCAGUAACGGCGAGUGAAGCGGCAACAGCUCAAAUUUGAAAUCUGGCUCUUUCAGGGCCCGAGUUGUAAUUUGUAGAGGAUGCUUCGGGUACGGCUCCGGUCUAAGUUCCUUGGAACAGGACGUCACAGAGGGUGAGAAUCCCGUACGUGACCGGCCUCCACGCCCGUGUGAAGCUCCUUCGACGAGUCGAGUUGUUUGGGAAUGCAGCUCAAAAUGGGUGGUAAAUUUCAUCUAAAGCUAAAUAUUGGCCAGAGACCGAUAGCGCACAAGUAGAGUGAUCGAAAGAUGAAAAGCACUUUGGAAAGAGAGUCAAACAGUACGUGAAAUUGUUGAAAGGGAAGCGCUUGCAACCAGACUUGCCCGCAGGUGAUCAACCGAUAUUCUUAUCGGUGCACUCGCCCGUGGUCAGGCCAGCAUCGGUUUGGGCGGCUGGAUAAAGUCCACCGGAACGUAGCUCCUCUCGGGGAGUGUUAUAGCCGGUGGUGCAAUGCAGCCUGCCUGGACCGAGGACCGCGCU